CAGUCGCCGCGGUAACACGUAGGGAGCAAGCGUUGUUCGGAUUUACUGGGCGUAAAGGGCGCGUAGGCGGCGCGGUAAGUCACUUGUGAAAUCUCUGAGCUUAACUCAGAACGGCCAAGUGAUACUGCUGUGCUAGAGUGCGGAAGAGGCAACCGGAAUUCUUGGUGUAGCGGUGAAAUGCGUAGAUAUCAAGAGGAACACCUGAGGCGAAGGCGGGUUGCUGGGCCGACACUGACGCUGAUGCGCGAAAGCCAGGGGAGCAAACGGGAUUAGAUACCCCUGUAGUCCCUGUCUCUUAUAC
rnacentral:rRNA from 1 species